rnacentral:rRNA from 1 species
CUUGGUGCUGACGAGUGGCGGACGGGUGAGUAAUGCAUAGGAAUCUGCCCUUUAGCGGGGGAUAACUCGGGGAAACUCGGGCUAAUACCGCAUACGCCCUACGGGGGAAAGCGGGGGCCUUCGGGCCUCGCACUAUUGGAUGAGCCUAUAUCUGAUUAGUUUGUUGGUGGGGUAAUGGCCUACCAAGGCGACGAUCAGUAGCUGGUCUGAGAGGACGAUCAGCCACACUGGGAUUGAGAUACGGCCCAGACUCCUACGGGAGGCAGCAGUGGGGAAUAUUGGACAAUGGGCGAAAGCCUGAUCCAGCAAUGCCGCGUGUGUGAAGAAGGCCCGAGGGUUGUAAAGCACUUUCAACAGUAAAGAAAAGUUCGGUGCUAAUACCACCGAACCCUGACGUUAGCUGUAGAAGAAGCACUGGCUAACUCCGUGCCAGCAGCCGCGGUAAUACGGAGGGUGCGAGCGUUAAUCGGAAUUACUGGGCGUAAAGCGUGCGUAGGUGGUUUGGUAAGUCGGAUGUGAAAGCCCCGAGCUCAACUUGGGAACUGCAUUCGAUACUGCUAGGCUAGAGUAUGGUAGAGGGAAGUGGAAUUUCCGGUGUAGCGGUGAAAUGCGUAGAGAUCGGAAGGAACACUAGUGGCGAAGGCGGCUUCCUGGACCAAUACUGACACUGAGGUACGAAAGCGU